CUUGUGAAAGAAGGCUCUUGAUUUCCCUUGAUGGGAUUGUUUUUUACUCCUUUAUAAUACACACAGAGAAGAGUAUGUUUGGUAUUAGGUUAUCUAUCUCCUGGGAGAGCAGAUAUGAGAGCUCUGUCCUUCUAAAAACUUUCAUCCUAGUAAAUAUACAGGAUAUGCACUCUUUAGCAAGGGAAGAUCAAAAGUAGAAAGAGUAAGUGUUUUCAUACUAUUUCUGACUCAAGAAGGAAAAAUCCAAUCUAGAGGAGUCUUUGAUCUUUUCUCCUGUGAGAAGAAAGGAAAGAACGACAGAGGAUCUGCAGGGCAAAAGUGGGAGAGAUGGAGAAGCUGUGAGUGCAACAAGGAAACAGUUCUGGAAGCUGGGGGCUCCAGAUAGAGGCAGCGAGGGCCAGCUGAAUCUGACGCUGAGAAAAAAAAAAUCUACAGCCAGAAAAAGAAAAGAAAACAACAACAGCAAAAACCAUCCAGGUAUCUCUCAACUGCUGGUAGCUCCAGUUGCUUCCUGACUUGUUAAGGCUUUCUUUUGGUACUUGCUCUCUUGGAUACGACUCACCAUGUCUAACUUUUCUCCUUUACAAGGGCUCACCUAUUGGAGUACCCCCUCCCCUUGUUCUUCAUCUCACCUGAGCAUUUGCAAGGAUUCUCUUUCCAUUUAGGAUCACAUUCACCUUACCUGGAGAUUAGAAUAAUCUAUGCUGGUGGGCUAACUCCAGCUCCUAGUGUCUCCCACUUUUAGCUCCUAGAGUCUUCAGCUUUUCCAAAAGGGCAGAUGAAUAUGUAUCUCACAAAUUUAACUUGCACAUGAGCUGAAUGGGGGUAGUGUUUCAUUUAUUAGAAUUUUAUUUUGAAAUGAAUGUAGGCUUGCUGUUACCCACAGCGUCCUAUAAACUCAUCACUUAGCAGCCUUCUAAACGGUAUCUUAACACACUACCUGGGUGGCACACUAUCCCACCAGUAAAAUGACUUGCUAUAGUGCCGUCAGCAGAGUCAGGCACUUGUUAAUUUAAACCAUGUUUUCUGUUGUGGGACCACGUCACUGUUCAUAGUCAUCAACUAGUUCCUGAGAGAGUUGUUCAGGACCCAAUCUUUGAUGAAGCAUGGUAGUUUGGUAGGUGUAGAUAGAUUCUGGGAAAACACAGGAGUUCAAAUUUGCAAGAUAGAAAGUGUGUGUGAGCUUGACUGUUCCCAAUCAUAAUCAUUGCCUGUAGUGUGAGCUCCUGCUGACCUUGGGGCAAUCCUCCCGUUCAAUCACAGAACCCGAAUAAGCCUGGCACAGAACCUGCCUUUUGCAGAACCUUCAGCACUACUCAGUCCCUUUUCGACCCAAGCUUCUGGCUCUAGUUACAGCAUUCCUAGAUUAUAUCUGAUGCUCACACAGGAUGCAGCCUAUGGAGGGUGGGUUUUUCACAGUGUAAGGGGUUUCCUAAUGCUGUGUGAUGCAGUGAUAACAGGCACAGAGAAUGGUGAUGGAAUGUGAGUGCAGGCUAGUAAACACCUUAGGAAAUGGGCUUGUAAGAACAUUUGCUACUUGUAGUCAGUGAGGAGAUCUUUGGGAAUACUUCCAAAGAUGUAUCUCCCUGAAUUCAAAAAUCAAGGGGGCUUUAUUUGGGAAAUUUAUAUGCAUAUUCAUUUUGGAAAGUUUCUUAAUGACAAGUAGAAGGAGGGGCUUCUCAGAACGUGCUGCGUGAUAUUAAGCUCUUCACACACAGCUGGUGCCAAGAAUUUACUACCAUAGUGAGCAAAGUUUACUGUAGGUCAACAAAAUGGAAAGACAGGGUGUAGAGCUGUUCAUUGUGCUUUUGCUAGGGGCUCUUAUCUGAAGGACAUGAGAGAGGGAGGAGGAGGGAGAGGAAGCAUGGGGAGAGAGAUGUUAGUAGUCAUUUAUGGAAGUCCCUACAGUGUCCCUCACCAACAAGCAUGGGAAUUUUCUCCUUAAAGUUUAAAAAUAAAGGAUCUUGCUUAUUAUUAUUUGAAUGCAACUAUCAUUGGUUCAUUUCCACUGUUUCAUUAGUCAUUUGUAUUUAUUCUGGGGAGAGUUAUUGUCUACCCAUGCCUCUGCCUGUUUCAAAUAAAGCGUUGCCUUUAUUUUUUCUACUAACUUUUCUUGCUUUAUGAACGUUUAUUUAAGUGGAGUUUUCUUUAUAACACAUUCUUCCGCCUUUUACAGAUUUGGUUUUCUGUCACAGAUCAACUUCUCAAUUAUAUUAUGGCCUGGGAUUUAGUCAACACAUGUGUAAGGACCAAGGUCAGGUCUUCGAUGAAGAGUUCUUGGAGCCAGGGCUACAUAAGUAUUUUGUGCAGCCUGAGUAAGCACACACUUGUGUGUUUCAUGAGACCCAGUUUAACCAUGACGUCAGACUCAGCUGCCUAAAUUCAUUUGCAGAUUUACAACAAAAGCGUUCAGAAAUCAGAUUUAGGUAGCACACGUGUAUUGAGGAAGGUGGGACUAAGCUUUGGAAAACAGCAAGCGUGAGCAUGCAGACUGCAGAGUUUCCACGGCGCAGAGUAUAUUUUGUGGUGUCUGGUCAAAUUUCCAAGCCAAUGCAUUAAAACCACUCAUCUCCUCUU